AUACUUACCUGGCGUAGGGGUUACCGUGAUCAUCAAGGCGGUUCCCCCAGGACGAGGCCCUUCCAUUGCACUAAUAUCGAUUUAUACACUUUUGCGUGCCUUCGAACCAGUUCGUCAAAUAUUUUUUGGACUUUAAAAGC
rnacentral:snRNA from 13 species